GGAACCUUUAAUGCUAGUCCUGUGAGGCUGGGAAGGUAUGUAUAGAAUGUUAGUCUAUAUUGGUGUAUUAUACCUUCCUGUAAAAGGGAAGGUUUUUUUAUU
rfam:Clostridium sp. DMHC 10 contig_15, whole genome shotgun sequence.